rnacentral:rRNA from 1 species
UACGGAGGGUGCGAGCGUUGUCCGGAAUCACUGGGCGUAAAGGGCGCGUAGGCGGCCGAGCAAGGUCGCGGUGAAAGCCCGGGGCUCAACCCCGGGUCGGCCGUGGCAACUACUGGGCUGGAGCACUGUAGGGGCAGAUGGAAUUCCGGGUGUAGCGGUGGAAUGCGUAGAGAUCCGGAAGAACACCGGUGGCGAAGGCGGUCUGCUGGGCAGUUGCUGACACUGAGGCGCGACAGCGUGGGGAGCAAACAGG